rnacentral:rRNA from 1 species
GUCCAGACUCCUACGGGAGGCAGCAGUGGGGGAUAUUGCACAAUGGGGGGAACCCUGAUGCAGCGACGCCGCGUGGGUGAAGGAGCGUUUCGGCGCGUAAAGCCCUAUCGGCAGGGAAGAAGAUGACGGUACCUGACCAAGAAGCCCCGGUUAACUACGUGCCAGCAGCCGCGGCAAUACGUAGGGGGCAAGCGUUAUCCGGAUUUACUGGGUGUAAAGGGAGCGUAGACGGUUAUGUAAGUCUGGAGUGAAAGCCCGGGGCCCAACCCCGGGACUGCUUUGGAAACUGUGUAACUGGAGUACAGGAGGGGCAGGCGGAAUUCCUGGUGUAGCGGUGAAAUGCGUAGAUAUCAGGAGGAACACCGGCGGCGAAGGCGGCCUGCUGGACUGAAACUGACGUUGAGGCUCGAAAGCGUGGGGAGCAAACAGGAUUAGAUACCCGUGUA